rnacentral:rRNA from 1 species
UACAGAGGUCUCAAGCGUUGUUCGGAUUCAUUGGGCGUAAAGGGUGCGUAGGUGGCGCCGUAAGUCAGGUGUGAAAUUUCGGAGCUUAACUCCGAAACUGCAUUUGAUACUGCGGUGCGUUGAGGACUGGAGAGGAGACUGGAAUUUACGGUGUAGCAGUGAAAUGCGUAGAGAUCGUAAGGAAGACCAGUGGCGAAGGCGGGUCUCUGGACAGUUCCUGACACUGAGGCACGAAGGCCAGGGGAGCAAACGGG